GUUUCAUUUGGAUUUUUGCUUUUAUUCACUGCUACUGGAAGUCUGCUCAAUCUGCAGAGCAGCCUGAAUGCUGAUGAAGGCAUGGGUCUGGCCUCCAACAGCGUGACCUUUUCCUCCAUCAUCCUGUCCUCCAUGUUCAUCACCCCAACAGCCAUCAGGUACCUGGGAUGCAAAUGGACCAUCUUUGCUGGGAUGGCAUGCAAUGUGGUGUACACCGUACGACAUUUUUUAUCCAAGCUGUGAACAGCACAGGUGAUGAUUUACUGUUCUGUGGAGUGGACAGCUGUGGUGCCCCCGAUGUUUCUUCUGGAAAUUCC